UACGGGGGGGGCAAGCGUUGUUCGGAAUUACUGGGCGUAAAGGGCUCGUAGGCGGCCAACUAAGUCAGACGUGAAAUCCCUCGGCUUAACCGGGGAACUGCAUCUGAUACUGGAUGGCUUGAGUUCGGGAGAGGGAUGCGGAAUUCCAGGUGUAGCGGUGAAAUGCGUAGAUAUCUGGAGGGACACCGGUGGCGAAGGCGGCAUCCUGGACCGACACUGACGCUGAGGAGCGAAAGCGUGGGGAGCGAACAGG
rnacentral:rRNA from 1 species